UGGGGGAUAUUGCACAAUGGGCGAAAGCCUGAUGCAGCGACGCCGCGUGGGGGAUGAAGGCUUUCGGGUUGUAAACCUCUUUCGCUAUCGAACAAGGCCCGCUUAGGGUGGGUUGAGGGUAGGUGGAGAAGAAGCGCCGGCUAACUACGUGCCAGCAGCCGCGGUAAUACGUAGGGCGCGAGCGUUGUCCGGAAUUAUUGGGCGUAAAGGGCUUGUAGGCGGCUUGUUGCGCCUGCUGUGAAAACGCGGGGCUUAACUUCGCGCGUGCAGUGGGUACGGGCAUGCUUGAGUGUGGUAGGGGUGACUGGAAUUCCAGGUGUAGCGGUGGAAUGCGCAGAUAUCUGGAGGAACACCGAUGGCGAAGGCAGGUCACUGGGCCAUUACUGACGCUGAGGAGCGAAAGCAUGGGUAGCGAACAGG
rnacentral:rRNA from 1 species